AGGUGUUUCAUAAAGCACGCACGGCCGCUCCAUGUGUAGUAUUUUUUGACGAGAUUGAUGCAGUAGCAAGCAAACGUGGUGGUAACGAUGGCGAUGUGUCUAAUGUCUCUGAACGUGUUUUAACACAACUUUUAACUGAACUGGAUGGUGUCGAAACAUUGAAUGACGUCACUUUAGUUGCAGCCACAAAUAGACCUGAUGUCAUCGAUAAAGCUCUCAUGCGUCCUGGUCGCAUUGACCGUAUUAUUUAUAUUCCACUACCUGAUGAAGAAACAAGAACUGAGAUAUUUAAUAUUCAGUUACGAAACACACCACUUGCUCCUGCCGUCAACAUUGAUGACAUCAUAGCUCAGACACAGGGGUAUUCUGGGGCUGAAAUUACAGCGAUAUGCCGUGAAGCUGCAUUAGCUGCUCUACAAGAAGACAUCAAUGCUAUACAUGUCAAACAUGAGCAUUUUGUUCAAGCUUUACAAACUGUUAAACCAAGAAUAUCUGCGGAUCUUGUUCAGUAUUAUAGCAAGUUUCAGGAGCAGUGUGGGAUACAUAGUUUAUAGACAAUACAAUAUGUGGGAGGCUGUUGUGGUGCACUAGACUUGCAUCUCUGCAUGAGAGAUUUUUAUUGCAAAAUAUGGACGGACGAUUGACAAGUGUAUCCCCAAAGCUCUCACCAGAAAGUAUUGGAACGAGACAUAGGCGUACGCAGUGAGAGAAAACAUCAGGGGGUGGGGUGGUGGGGGCGGGGGGAGUGAAAGAAAUUUGCCCGGAUGUUUUGAAUUUUUAUGAGUUUUAUGGGGAGGACAAACAUUUUGGGAGGGUUACAGUAAAUAUUUUUGCCACAUUGCAUAUUUCUUGCAUUUUCGACAAUGAUCUUACAUAUUUCUUGCUUUUCAAUUUUUCUGGGGGGAAACUGCGCGAGAUUGGAACGAGAUUGAAUUUCCCUUCUCCUGGUAUAUAUUUUAACACGUGACGGUUUGCGGGAUGUUGUUGCUAGAUGUGGUCCUUCGCUCGAAACGUCAAAAUUCGUUUGUAUUUUUCAGGUAGUUGAAUAUUUAUAGUUAGAAACGUCAAAAUUCGUUUGUAUUUUUCAGGUAG